UAAGAUCCACUCGCCUCGCCGUGACAGGUAGUCGUUAAAGAGAAAGGCUAUGCAAAUUACGCCUUCAAAAUGACGUAAGCACGCCCACUGGAUUCCACUCACUGACUGGUCAAACAAUAGUGUUAGAACUCUGAGAUAUUGUACUGCACGGAUCGGUGGAAGCCCGGAUCCGUAUUCACAUAUAUGGGAGCUCUAUAUCUAUGCUAGUGCCAGGCACAAACGGGGACCAUGGAAGCUGUCAACAUGUAAUGGAUUAGUCUGCUCGGAGGAUCGAGGUCUCUAAUGUUGGACCUCAAUACAGCUGCGAGAUGCGAGAAAUGACUGAACAUCACGCUAUACAUGCGCGGCAACAGCCAUUUUUGUUUUAUUGCAUACUUUGUAAAAUUUUGAUCCAAAGAUAAUUAUAUCUUAAUAUAUUUCUGAAAUGCACAAAAUAAAAAUAUUUUUUCAUAGUUUUAUAUUCAUUGAAUAUACCUUUUAAAUGUGGAUAUUCAAAUUAUUAGCCUCACAAACAGUAUAUGGUUCUGAAUAUUUACUUAUUUUCCAUGUCAUUUCAAGUGAGCAAAACUUCUAUUGAAACAUGCCGAGUUGGGUGAUUCCGUUGUCUAUUUGGUGCAUCUAUGUCUUUCAUAUUUUAAUGAUGCAUCCCGAUGUGCCAUUUGUUGUAAUAAAUGUUUUGAAAAUGUUUUGAGCGUUAAGUACGUGAGAAAUGUAAGACAAUUGAAACAAAGCACCACAUUUUGCAGGAAACUUUAUAUGCUCAUAGAACUUAAAUAAUUUGUUUUUAUUGUGACUUACACUUGGUGUAUUCUUUAUUUUAUUUAUUUUAAAAGUGUUUGUCCCUUUGGUCCUAGUUCUCUGUAAACUGUGUACACUGAUUAAGAAAGGUAUAAUGUACUUUUCUUUUCAUUUGCUAUUUCACGAAUAAAACAAGAAUAUCAAUGUA